UAGAAUUGAAGCUGCUGCUCCAGGAAGGGUGCCUUGCCCUGGCUGACCCAGCGCCCUUGAGAAGGCAAUACGGGAGUUCGGUGACAAACCAUGCAACAUUGUAAUCGUGCCAGAACUGGGUACAAGCUUCGACAAGCUCGAGGAGGCCUAUGAUUUUUAUUUGCAGGGUAAAGCAGGGGUGGAAACACACUAGAUCAUGCAGAUGUGUGUACCCUGCAUCAAUAAGACUGCUUCGAUCAAAGGACAAUGAUUGGUACAUAGCUGAGCAUCGAGAACAUCACAACCAUUCACUGUCUCCAACAUAUGGGCAGACAAUACACCGGCCUUCCCACAAGCACAUUGAUACAUACAAUGGAGAUUUGGUGGAGCAGCUGCGUCAGAACAAUGUCAAUCUAGCCAAAGUGCAUAGCAUAAUAGGAAGCUUUUUUGGUUCAAUGGAAAAGGUGCCAUUCACGAAAAGAGCUUUGAAAAUUUUGUGUGAAAAAAUCAGCAGAGAGCAAGCAGAGAAUGAUGUGAGGAAAACUAUGGAGGUUUUUGCAGAUCUGGGUUCAAGGGACCCACACUUCACUUAUCGUGUGCAGGCAGACAAGGAUGGUCGGAUAACAACUCUGAUGUGGGCAAAUGGGAGCAUUAGAUUGCAGUACACCUUCUUUGGAGACGUUUUUACCUUCGAUACAACAUACAGAACAAAUCUGUACAACAUGCCGUUUGGUCUGUUUGUAGGAGUGAAUAAUCAUUUCCAGAGCAUCAUCUUGGCUGGGGUUUUGGUCCGUGAUGAAAAAGUGGAGACUUUUGAGUGGGUUUCCACAUAAUGCGUUAGGAUGAUGGCUGGAAGUGCACCAAAGACAAUUCUAACAUAUCAAAACCGUGCGAUGGAGGUCGCCAUAAAAAAUGUGAUGCCUCAAACAGCACACUGAUGGUGUAAGUGGCACGUGCUGAAAAAGGCGAAGGAAUCACUCGGUUCAUUGUACACCAAGAAGAGCGAGUUCAGGGCACAGUUCCACAAGGUAGUAAAUCACAUGCUUGCGAUCGAUGAAUUCGAGGAAGCAUGGAAGAUACUGGUUGAGAAAUGUAAUUUAAAGACGCAUGACUACAUCACUCAACUGUAUGAAAUAAGACACAAGUGGGCGAAGCCAUAUUUCAAAGGUGUUUUCUGUGCUAAGAUGACAAACACCCAAUGCAGUGAAAGUGCAAACCACAUGCUGAAGAGCUAUGUCCCACCUGGUUGUCUGAUGCAUAUGUUUGUCAAAAAAUACAUGAGACUACAGUUUGACAGGGAAGCUGAGGAGAACUACGAGGAGAAGCGGACACGAAUAGUAAGUCAACGUUUGGUAAUUGCCACUAGUUUUGUAGUGCUGACCUCUACGUUUCAGGGUAGAACACUAUACAAAGCAAACUUAGCUAUUGAAAGACAUGCUGGUAAGAUAUAGACACGUGCUAUGUUCGAGCAGUUUGGACAUAUACUCUAUGAGUGCGGUGCAUACCAAGUUGAGGAGCUUGAGAAAGGGAAACUGUAUCUUGUGAUUCAUACAGAGGCUGCAAGGAGAGAAAAGUGGUGUAGGGUGUCAUAUAAGGUAAAUGUUCUUGAAGGAGGUGAGGAAUUCGAUUGCGAGUGUGGGCAAUUUGCACACAUGGGACUCCUUUGUAGCCAUGUUUUGAAGGUGAUGGAUUUCAUUCGUAUUACAGAGACACCACCGAAACACAUUGUGAAGCGAUGGACGAGGGAUGCGUGUGAUGUGCUGCCAGCCCAUCUGACUCAAUACCAGAGAGAUCAUGCACACAAAAAUACAACCACCAACAGCAGCUGCUAUGAGUGGGGGUGCAGGCAUCGAGGCAGUGAAUGAUGAUGCUACUUCUGGAAAUGAGACUGGGAACAGACACACUAGUUUAUUGGCGCCGAAGAAAUGGAAAGAAAUGGGGCGCCCAACAACCAGCCGGGAGAAGGCACCGUACGAGGGACUCAGCAAGCGGACAAUGUUCUGCAGCAUAUGUCGGCAGCAGGGGCACAAGAGGACUACAUGCCUGGACCGGGGAGAUGCCCUGAAGCCUGUUUGUAAACCAGCAAGGUGCAAGAAUUAUGGGAUUGAAGGUCACAGACGGAACAACUGCCAGAAAUUGGGUGAUUUACGGAUGAUUGGCUUGUGAGGAGGUGCAGCAGACUAUGUACUUAAGACAAUAAUUCUGUAGAGCUUAAUGUGUGCAACUGUAGUUCCAUGCUAUAGAAUUAUAGGCACUACCAUUUCUGAGCACUAUGGUGGUGUAUAUGCUUCUGAAUUUUUGGGCAAUAAGUUGGAGUUCAUAAUUGGAAAACAUAAUAAAAAUUUACUAAGGUGAAGCAUACUGAAUUUUGAAGCACUACGGUAGUGUCUACAUUUCUGAAUUUUUAGGCAAUAAGUUGGAGUCCAUAAUUGGAAAAUAUAAUAAAAAUGUACUGAGGUGAAGCAUACUGAAUUUUGAAGCACUACAGUAGUGUCUACGUUUCUGAAUUUUUGGGCAAUUUGUUGAUGUCCAGAAUUUGAAAAUUUUAUAAUUAAAGUUCUGAUUUUCUGAAUUUGUAAGCAAUAUGG